GACGAACGCUGGCGGCGUGCUUAACACAUGCAAGUCGAACGGAAAGGCCCUGCUUUUGUGGGGUGCUCGAGUGGCGAACGGGUGAGUAACACGUGAGUAACCUGCCCUUGACUUUGGGAUAACUUCAGGAAACUGGGGCUAAUACCGGAUAGGAUCUCCUGCUGCAUGGUGGGGGUUGGAACGUUUCGGCGGUUGGGGAUGGACUCGCGGCUUAUCAGCUUGUUGGUGGGGUAGUGGCUUACCAAGGCUUUGACGGGUAGCCGGCCUGAGAGGGUGACCGGCCACAUUGGGACUGAGAUACGGCCCAGACUCCUACGGGAGGCAGCAGUGGGGAAUAUUGCACAAUGGGCGGAAGCCUGAUGCAGCAACGCCGCGUGCGGGAUGACGGCCUUCGGGUUGUAAACCGCUUUCGCCUGUGACGAAGCGUGAGUGACGGUAAUGGGUAAAGAAGCACCGGCUAACUACGUG
rnacentral:rRNA from 1 species